rnacentral:rRNA from 1 species
UACGUAGGUGGCAAGCGUUGUCCGGAUUUAUUGGGUUUAAAGGGUGCGUAGGCGGCCCUGUAAGUCAGUGGUGAAAUACUGCAGCUUAACUGUAGCAUUGCCAUUGAUACUGUAGGGCUUGAGUACAGAUGAGGUAGGCGGAAUUGAUGGUGUAGCGGUGAAAUGCAUAGAUACCAUCAAGAACACCGAUUGCGAAGGCAGCUUACUAAGCUGUAACUGACGCUGAGGCACGAAAGCGUGGGGAUCGAACAGG